AUGGACAUGAGGGCCCACACUCAGCUCCUGGGUCUCCUGCUACUCUGUCUCCCAGUUGCCAGAUGUGACAUCCAGAUGACCCAGUCUCCAUCCUCUCUGUCUGCUUCUCUUGGAGACACAGUCACCAUCACUUGCCAGGCCAGCCAGAGUGUUAGCAGUUAUUUAAAUUGGUAUCAGCAGAAACCAGGGAAGGCUCCCACGCUCCUGAUCUAUUAUGCAUCUAAAUUACAAAGUGGGGUCUCCUCGAGGUUCAGUGGCAGUGGAUCUGGGACAGACUUUACUCUCACCAUCAGCAGUCUGGAGGCUGAUGAUGUUGGCACUUAUUACUGUCAACAGGAUUAUAGUAACCCUCCCACAGUGUUACAAGCCCAUACAUAA